AGUAGGAUUGCUGGGUCUUAUGGUAAGUGUAUGCUUAAUUUUAUAAAAAACUUCCAAACUGUUUUGCAAAGUGAGUAAACCAUUUUGCAUUCUAACCAGUAAU
rnacentral:pre_miRNA from 1 species